AGGAUGAACGCUGGCGGUCUGCUUAACACAUGCAAGUCGAACGGAGUAGCAAUACUUAGCGGCGGACGGGUGAGUAACGUGUGAGAAUCUACCUUCAGGACGGAGACAACAGUUGGAAACGACUGCUAACCCCCGAUGUACCGAAAGGGCAAAUAUUUAUAGCCUGAAGAAGAGCUCGCGUCCGAUUAGCUAGUUGGAGAGGUAAAAGCUCACCAAGGCGACGAUCGGUAGCUGGUCUGAGAGGACGAUCAGCCACACUGGGACUGAGACACGGCCCAGACUCCUACGGGAGGCAGCAGUGGGGAAUUUUCCGCAAUGGGCGAAAGCCUGACGGAGCAAGACCGCGUGGGGGAAGAAGGCUCUUGGGUUGUAAACCCCCUUUCAGCAGGGACGAGCGAAAGUGACGGUACUGCAGAAGAGCGCCGGCUAACUACGUGCCAGCAGCCGC
rnacentral:rRNA from 1 species